rnacentral:rRNA from 1 species
GACGAACGCUGGCGGCGUGCUUAACACAUGCAAGUCGAGCGGUACGGCCCUUUCGGGGGUACACGAGCGGCGAACGGGUGAGUAACACGUGGGUGACCUGCCUUUAGCUCUGGGAUAAGCCUGGGAAACCGGGUCUAAUACCGGAUAUGACUCCGCGGCGCAUGUUGUGGGGUGGAAAGCCUUGUGCGGCUGGAGAUGGGCCCGCGGCCUAUCAGCUUGUUGGGUGGGGUGAGGCCUACCAAGGCGACGACGGGUAGCCGGCCUGAGAGGGCGACCGGCCACACUGGGACUGAGACACGGCCCAGACUCCUACGGGAGGCAGCAGUGGGGAAUCUUGCGCAAUGGGCGAAAGCCUGACGCAGCGACGCCGCGUGAGGGAUGACGGCCU